rnacentral:tRNA from 1 species
GCCGAUGGACGCCGGAAUACCCCCCUCCUAAAGCGGGUGUCGCAGGUUCGAAUCCUGCCGGGGGCA